rnacentral:rRNA from 1 species
UACAGAGGGGGCAAGCGUUGUUCGGAAUUACUGGGCGUAAAGGGCGCGUAGGCGGCCUUCUAAGUCGAACGUGAAACCUCCAGGCUCAACCUGGAGACGCCACCUGAUACUGCUGUGGCUAGAGUCCGGUAGGGGAGCGUGGAAUUCCUGGUGUAGCGGUGAAAUGCGCAGAUAUCAGGAGGAACACCAGCGGCGAAGGCGGCGCUCUGGGCCGGAACUGACGCUGAGGAGCGAAAGCGUGGGUAGCAAACAGG